rnacentral:lncRNA from 1 species
CCUGAGUCUGCCCCUGACUCUGGCCUCACCCGUCUCAAGCACUGAGGACUCUCAAUUGUCAGGGAGGUUUUCAGUUCUGGGAUAAAGAGCGAAGACUCAAGUAAAUCCUCCAUCAAAGCCUCGGUUGUUAUUUGUUCUGUUUUGUUUUGUUUCCCAGCUCUCUUUCUCCUGCCACCGCCCCCAGGAAGUGGGGAGAGGUCUCUCUUCUACUUAGAGCCCUGAAAUCAAACUUCCCCGCCUGCUUCUUCGGGCUCCCAUUCCGCACCUGUCUCAGAGCGCUUCAGGACCUGUGGUUAGAGACCCGCAAGGCAGCCGGCCAGUUCAUGUUUCUAAUUCAUUGGUUUACUCUGCCUCAUUCUUUACCCCCAUGGUGUUUGGUCUUGGGAGCUCUGAGUCUCUUUGAGUGUUCGAUGAAUGGCAAAUGCAUAAGGACACACCACCCAGAUAUUUGUAUAUGAUAUUGGGUGUUGUGGCCUCCCUGAGGCUGAUGUGACCCCCCCCAUCCAGUGCAUGGCAGCGGAGCAGGGGUUUGAGAAGAGGAUCACUGAAAUGGGUCCGGGAGGGUGAAGGACCAUGAGGAUAAAUUUCUUAUUGUUGGAAUUGGGAGACCCACCCAUAGGGAGCCCACCCUGGGUCCUGGGUCACUGCCUCCACUGGGAGACUCGUCCCUGGGCUCCCCCUCAGAUUGGGGGCUCCUCUCCGAACAUCCUUGUCAAGAUCACCUGACUCCAGCAGCUGCCAAAGCCCUGGGCAACGCCAAGAGCCUCCUGGCCUCAAACGGGUUGGGCGACAUUCACUUCCCUCCACUGUCCUCCAGACCUGCUCAGUCAUUAGGAAAUGCCUCAGCGGCGGCUGUCACAGUAACAGCAGCAGGAAGACGUGCUGUCUGCCCAGCACCUGUGGGUGGCUCAGAUCUGCUCCGCGGAGGACGUGGUGGAGAGGUGGAUGCUGAUCCCAGCAAAUUAUACAU